rnacentral:tRNA from 1 species
GGGAAGGUGGCUCAGUGGUAGAGUGCUUGCCUUGCAUGCAUGAGGCCAUGGGUGCAAUUCCUCCACACCA